rnacentral:lncRNA from 1 species
AUAUUUUUUUGAGAAAUUUACCCCAUAGGACACUUUAUGAGUGGUCAAUUACUACUGGAGACACUUUUGACUUUGUAGACGCAUUAUGCAUGAGUGAAGACAAAAAAAUCUCUGAUCCUAACAAAACUAGAGUUCCCCAACUUUCUUCGUUGUUCAACUACAAACUAGAGACAUGUGCACACUCCCUCACACGUGUUAAUGAAUUUUAAGUCCCCUCAAAAACUCAAUCGUCUUCACAUUAAUCUCAACCCUACAGUUGACCCUCAGCGGCCAUUGUCAAACCAGAUCGAGUUCGAGAUCCGCCGUGGUGGCUAAUCGGAGUCGAGCAAAAAUCAAUCGUCGUCGCCGUGAUCUCAUACCUUCUCUGCAUUCUCCGGUGAACCGUAAAUCAAAGCCGCCAUUGCUCAGCUCGAGCCUCGAGAUCGUCAUUGACGAACCUUGACUUCAAGUCCGUGAAUUUUCACCUUUGAUCCAAUGCAACACGACCUCCACCACAAUUUGCUUGAUCAAAGAUAGCUCCACUGUUCAGCCUAUCGAAGACGGCUCUUUUCGCUCAGCCUCUCGCCGCCGUGUUUUUCCAUUGUUAGGGAUAGCUCGAUCUGCUCCUAGCCGAGUUUAUUCAAUUUUUCGUUUUGGUCCUUGUUCUUUCAAUUAAUUUCAUAUUUGCCCCCAAAAUUUUCUAACUAUGCAUAUAUUUUUUUUGGAUUAGCUCCAAAAUUUUCAACAGUGCUUUUUAACUCUUUUUUCUUUGCAAAUAAACACACAAUUAAUAUGAUCUAAAAUCAUUUUAAGUCAUUAGACAUCAGUCAUCC